UACGGGGGGGAGCAAGCGUUGUUCGGAUUUACUGGGCGUAAAGGGCGCGUAGGCGGCGCAACAAGUCACUUGUGAAAUCUCCGGGCUUAACCCGGAGCGGCCAAGUGAUACUGUCGUGCUAGAGUGCGGAAGGGGCUACUGGAAUUCUCGGUGUAGCGGUGAAAUGCGCAGAUAUCGGGAGGAACACCUAUGGCGAAGGCAGCUCGCUGGGACGUUACUGACACUGAGGCGCGAAAGCGUGGGGAGCGAACAGG
rnacentral:rRNA from 1 species